AGAAAUAUGUCUGAAAAAGAGCUACUUUGAUAGAGUAUGUCAUAGAGGUUUAAGUCCUCUUAUUUCUA
rnacentral:tRNA from 1 species